AUGACGUUCUUGGUCAUGGAGGUCCUCGUGACGGUCAGGCCAUGCACAUCAGUGGACUGCCACUGUGCACCGAUGUCACCAGCAACGUCAAUCGGUGCUCCGUCGAAGGCCAGGGUUGAGCUUAAGGGUGUGUUCGACAUCAUGACUAAAGUGGUGCCCGUCAUGAAGGAAGACUCACGUGCUCACAAUUACGGUGUGACAGAGGAUGAUAGUCUCGCGCAUCUGGACAUUGGGUUCAAGUUCUACGACCUGACAGGUGAUGUUCACGGUGUUCUCGGCCAAACCUACCGCCCCAACUAUGUAAACAAGUUCAACGUGAGUUCUAGCAUGCCGGUAAUGGGGGUGUAG
rnacentral:rRNA from 1 species